AGGCACAAAAAUUGAUUUGAGGGAGGAUCGAGAAACGCUGAACGCUUUGGCUGAUCAGGGACUAUCAGCAAUAAGCGAGAGCAGGGUCAGAAGCUGGCUAACAAGGUCAGAGCCGUCAAGUAUAUGGAGUGCUCGGCUCUUACGCAACGAGGAUUAAAACAGGUGUUUGACGAGGCAGUGAGAGCCGUGUUGCGACCCGAGACCCAAAAGCGACGUCAACGUAAGUGCGCUAUACUCUAGUCAUCACCGCAAUGCUUUCACGUUCUACAUCGAACAUCACUUAUUUAGAUUUUUAUAUCAACUGUAAAUAUUCCAUCAGCUAAGUGCGUCGAGUGCUGCAACGGUUACUAUUUAUUAUCGAGCAAUUGUGCAGAGUUGAUCAAAACCAAAAGAGACGCCGUUGCUCUCUAUAGCAUAUGAUUUCGGUUCCAAAGGAAAGACUUGGCUGCGGAACUACCUCAAACUAGAGACUAGGUAAAGACAGUGUGGAGCCAAGCUGAGCCACUGUUCGGAAUCUAAACGGAAUCUAAACGUGUUCGAAUCUAGCUACUGUUUGGAAUGGCGGACUUGUAAACUAACCAAUCAAAAACUAUUACCAGCUUCUGAUUGUCUAGUUUGCAAAUCCACCAUCAUGAUUCGAAACAGUGACUUGACUUGUAGUGUAGUGUCUAGUCUCUGUAGUCUAAUAAUUGAGGAGAAAUCUAACAAUUUUUGUACGAUCAUGUUUGCUAAUAUCAACAACUAAUGCAUGCUUUUCCCAUGUAGGUAAUUUUUAUUUAUUUCUCGAACGGCUAGUUUUAUAUUUUCAAUAACUUAUAGUUUUUUACAUUAAUUACUAAUUUUAAAGAAGCUUUUAUUUUUUCACAAAGAGACCAGUUAGUCUAGUUUUUUUUUGAGGGUUCAGUAAAAACCACAAAGCAUCACCAUUUUGAUAUUAUCUACGUAAUUACAUAAUUUCCAUCUAGUGCCGUGUCAUUAUGUGAAUAUAAAUCAAUACAAUAUUAUUGAAGUGUCCAGCCGAAUCUCAUGAAAAAUAAUUAUGUGUUUCCUGUAAGACUAGAUAUUGAAAAUGUGCUCUAUACCAUAUUCGAAUAAGAAGUAGAGAUGGUUCAGUAAAAACCACUAAGCAUCACCAU